rnacentral:rRNA from 1 species
AGCAGCCGCGGUAAUUCCAGCUCCAAUAGCGUAUAUUAAAGUUGUUGCAGUUAAAAAGCUCGUAGUUGAAUUUCGGGAUCAGUUGAUCGGUCGUGCCUCGGUACGUACUGGUCAAAUUGAUUCCUACCUUCUGACGAACCACGAUGUCAUUAAUUUGGUGUCGUGGGAAAUCAGGACUGUUACUUUGAAAAAAUUAGAGUGUUUAAAGCAGGCUCGCGCUUGAAUACAUUAGCAUGGAAUAAUGAAAUAGGACGUUUGAUUCUAUUUUGUUGGUUUCUAGGAUCGACGUAAUGAUUAAUAGGGAUAGUUGGGGGCAUUAGUAUUCAAUUGUCAGAGGUGAAAUUCUUGGAUUUAUUGAAGACUAACUACUGCGAAAGCAUUUGCCAAGGAUGUUUUCAUUAAUCAAGAACGAAAGUUAGGGGAUCGAAGACGAUCAGAUACCGUCGUAGUCUUAACCAUAAACUAUGCCGACUAGGGAUCGGAUGAUGUUAAUUUUUAAUGUACUCAUUCGGCGCCUUAA